UUUGGAAACAGAUGCUAAUACCGCGUAACAACAAAUCACACAUGUGAUCUGUUUGAAAGGUCCUUUUGGAUCGCUAGAGGAUGGUCUUGCGGCGUAUUAGCUUGUUGGUAGGGUAGAAGCCUACCAAGGCAAUGAUGCGUAGCCGAGUUGAGAGACUGGCCGGCCACAUUGGGACUGAGACACUGCCCAAACUCCUACGGGAGGCUGCAGUAGGGAAUUUUCCGCAAUGCACGAAAGUGUGACGGAGCGACGCCGCGUGUGUGAUGAAGGCUUUCGGGUCGUAAAGCACUGUUGUAAGGGAAGAAUAACUGAAUUCAGAGAAAGUUUUCAGCUUGACGGUACCUUACCAGAAAGGGAUGGCUAAAUACGUGCCAGCAGCCGCGGUAAUACGUAUGUCCCGAGCGUUAUCCGGAUUUAUUGGGCGUAAAGCGAGCGCAGACGGUUUAUUAAGUCUGAUGUGAAAUCCCGAGGCCCAACCUCGGAACUGCAUUGGAAACUGAUUUACUUG
rnacentral:rRNA from 1 species